CUCACGGAGCACGAGGCCUCCACUGCGGCUGCGUGGCCCCUUGGCGCGCUGGUGAGCCUUGGAGCGCGCCUGCGUACUCUCGGCGAGCGCUGGGGCAGCACGCGCGGCGUCCUCCUGCCAUCCUCAGUCUCUCAGGGCGCUGUGCAGCCUGCGGUUUCCU
ensembl:misc_RNA predicted gene, 27680